AUUGUUGUUUGGAGCUGGCAAAAUAUUGGGCCCAGAGAUCCAGCCUAUUGUCCCGUUUUGAUGAUGGGAUUAAGUUGGACAGAGAGGGCUGGUUUUCAGUCACACCUGAGAAGAUUGCUGAACAUAUUGCUGGCCGUGUCAGUCAAUCCUUCACAAGUGACAUUAUAGUAGAUGCAUUCUGUGGAGUUGGAGGAAAUACCAUUCAGUUUGCCUUAACAGGAAAAAAGAGUGA
rnacentral:lncRNA from 1 species